UUUUUAUAAAUAGGUGUCUGAGGGUUUUGUCCUGGGACAUCUAGUCGACAUUGAGUUUUUGCUUCAGUUUUAUUUUCUAUCUUACUCUGGCUGCGCUGCUUUUGCUUCUGUAACCUGUAAUUCGAGAUUUUUCCAAGUUAUUCAGAUUCCGUAUUUGAUUUUACCUGUCAUCUUGUUUCUCUACUCUUUAUCUCUUUACUUAUGCAAUAUACUUGUUUACAUGCGUUUAUGUCUUUGAGCAUGUUGUCUGAGUAGUGACAUAGAGUUCUUAAGGAUGGGAUAGAAUGGUUGUGGAAUCCUUAGUCUGUUCUAAUUGCCUGCAUAGUUAGAUUCCGUUAAUGGGAAUUAGUCUGGGCUAGCUUUGCUUGAGGAUUUCUAUCACGGGAGUGAAUUGAUCUGUUGUUUAACCUGUUGUCUAGGGAUAGCUUGAUUGCGCUUGUUAACCUUUCGAAUAGGCUAGGAUACCACUCUAUUCGAUUACCCCAUCCUUAGGAAUUUCUCGUCUAUCUGAUUUCUCUGUUUUAUUGUUAUCGCUUAAUCGUUCUCAUUGCCUGAUUUUUAGUUUUUGCAAUAAUUGGACCAACUUACUCGACCACACCCAGUGUCGGGCAACAGACUCUGCAUUCGAGUACAAUUGUCUCAUUUCCUGCCUGUUACUCGACCACAUCGUGCCUCUAGCAUCAGCUAGUUGUGGUCGAGUGAUUUUAGUAAUUCUGAUACUAUUUGUUUUUUCUGCAUGUUCGCUUACGGCUGUUAGAAACCUCAAAACCGUUAUUGCUUGGCUUGACUUAGUGACUUCUGAUCACAUCUCAUCUUUUUGCAUCACACAUAAUUGGAUUGACACCUAAAAUACUACAACGACAUGAUUGGUGUUUUAGGAUAAUUGACUAAAAACCUAAUAUCAGCAUGGGCGGUCACUAACACCAAGAAGAGCGUCGAAGGAACGUUGUGUAUGGGUGGGCUGAUAACACCCAUAUUACUGGCUUUGUGGAGUGCCUCUAGAGUUGGA
rnacentral:sRNA from 1 species